GGUACCUUUAAAUCAGUCCAGAGAGGCUGACAAGGACAACGGAAAUGAAGAUGGGAUGAUUAUGCUUAGAUCAAUCCUAUCUUUGACUGGGCUUCUUGUCAGAAAUGGCAAGGAGCCUUUUUUU
rfam:Bacilli bacterium VT-13-104 contig033, whole genome shotgun sequence.